UCAGCUGCUAAUUCAGCGCUCUAGGUGU
rnacentral:piRNA from 1 species